rfam:Picea glauca, whole genome shotgun sequence.
AAAAUGGUGUCUUUAGACACCACCAAUCUUCUUGGAGUAUUAUUU